UAAGACGAACCGUGCGAACGUUGUUCGGAUUCACUGGGCUUAAAGGGCGCGUAGGCGGGCACCCAAGUCCGGGGUGAAAGCCCCCGGCUCAACCGGGGAACGGCCUUGGAUACUGGGUGCCUCGAGGGAGGUAGGGGCGUGCGGAACUUCCGGUGGAGCGGUGAAAUGCGUAGAUAUCGGAAGGAACGCCGGUGGCGAAAGCGGCGCGCUGGACCUCUUCUGACGCUGAGGCGCGAAAGCUAGGGGAGCGAACGGGAUUAGAUACCCCGGUAGUCCUAGCCCUAAACGAUGGGCACCAGGUAGUGGGCCAGCAUGGGCUCACUGCCGGAGCAAAAGUGCUAAGUGCCCCGCCUGGGGAGUAUGGUCGCAAGGCUG
rnacentral:rRNA from 1 species